rnacentral:rRNA from 1 species
GAUGAACGCUAGCUAUAGGCUUAACACAUGCAAGUCGAGGGGCAGCGCAGUGUAGCAAUACAUGGGCGGCGACCGGCGCACGGGUGCGUAACGCGUAUCCAACCUUCCCGUUACUCUCGGAUAGCCUUCCGAAAGGGAGAUUAAUACGAGAUGGUGUUGAAAUUCCGCAUGUUAUUUCAACUAAAGAUUCAUCGGUAAUGGAUGGGGAUGCGUGACAUUAGGUAGAUGGCGGGGUAACGGCCCACCAUGCCCACGAUGUCUAGGGGUUCUGAGAGGAAGGUCCCCCACACUGGAACUGAGACACGGUCCAGACUCCUACGGGAGGCAGCAGUGAGGAAUAUUGGUCAAUGGUCGGAAGACUGAACCAGCCAAGUAGCGUGAAGGAUGAAGGUUCUAUGGAUUGUAAACUUCUUUUAUACGGGAAUAAAACCUCCCACGUGUGGGAGCUUGUAUGUACCGUAUGAAUAAGCAUCGGCUAACUCCGUGCCAGCAGCC